AGUGAACGCUGGCGGUAGGCCUAACACAUGCAAGUCGAACGGCAGCACAGGAGAGCUUGCUCUCUGGGUGGCGAGUGGCGGACGGGUGAGGAAUACAUCGGAAUCUACUCUGCCGUGGGGGAUAACGUAAGGAAACUUACGCUAAUACCGCAUACGACCUACGGGUGAAAGCAGGGGAUCUUCGGACCUUGCGCGAUUGAAUGAGCCGAUGUCGGAUUAGCUAGUUGGCGGGGUAAAGGCCCACCAAAGCGACGAUCCGUAGCUGGUCUGAGAGGAGGAUCAGCCACACUGGAACUGAGACACGGUCCAGACUCCUACGGGAGGCAGCAGUGGGGAAUAUUGGACAAUGGGCGCAAGCCUGAUCCAGCCAUACCGCGUGGGUGAAGAAGGCCUUCGGGUUGUAAAGCCCUUUUGUUGGGAAAGAAAUCCAGCUGGCUAAUACCCGGUUGGGAUGACGGUACCCAAAGAAUAAGCACCGGCUAACUUCGUGCCAGCCGCCGCCGUAA
rnacentral:rRNA from 1 species